GAGGGUGACAGGUGGUGCAUGGUUGUCGUCAGCUCGUGUCGUGAGAUGUGGUUAAGUCCCGCAACGAGCGCAACCCUCGACCUUAGUUGCCAGCAUUCAGUUGGGCACUCUAAGGUGACUGCCGGCUAAAAGUCGGAGGAAGGUGGGGAUGACGUCAAAUCAUCAUGCCCCUUAUGACCUGGGCUACACACGUGCUACAAUGGGCGGUACAAAGGGUCGCGAACCCGCGAGGGGGAGCCAAUCCCAAAAAAGCCGCUCUCAGUUCGGAUUGCAGGCUGCAACUCGCCUGCAUGAAGCCGGAAUCGCUAGUAAUCGCGGAUCAGCAUGCCGCGGUGAAUACGUUCCCGGGCCUU
rnacentral:rRNA from 1 species